GAUGAACGCUGGCGGCGUGCCUAAUACAUGCAAGUCGAGCGAACAGAUGAGGAGCUUGCUCCUCUGACGUUAGCGGCGGACGGGUGAGUAACACGUGGAUAACCUACCUAUAAGACUGGGAUAACUUCGGGAAACCGGAGCUAAUACCGGAUAAUAUAUUGAACCGCAUGGUUCAAUAGUGAAAGACGGUUUUGCUGUCACUUAUAGAUGGAUCCGCGCCGCAUUAGCUAGUUGGUAAGGUAACGGCUUACCAAGGCAACGAUGCGUAGCCGACCUGAGAGAGUGAUAGGCCACCCUGGAACUGAGACACGGUCCAGACUACUACGGGAGGCAGCAGUAGGGAAUCUUCCGCAAUGGGCGAAAGCCUGACGGAGCAACGCCGCGUGAGUGAUGAAGGUCUUCGGAUCGUAAAACUCUGUUAUUAGGGAAGAACAAAUGUGUAAGUAACUAUGCACGUCUUGACGGUACCUAAUCAGAAAGCCACGGCUAACUACGUG
rnacentral:rRNA from 1 species